rnacentral:rRNA from 1 species
GAUGAACGCUGGCGGCGUGCUUAACACAUGCAAGUCGAACGGAAAGGCGUUGAUUUUGUGGGGUGCUCGAGUGGCGAACGGGUGAGUAACACGUGAGUAACCUGCCCUUGACUUUGGGAUAACUCCAGGAAAUAGGGGCUAAUACCGGAUAGGAGCUACUGAUGCAUGGUGGGGGUUGGAAAGUUUCGGCGGUUGGGGAUGGAUUAGCGGCUUAUCAGCUUGUUGGUGGGGUAGUGGCUCACCAAGGCUUUGACGGGUAGCCGGCACGAGAGGGGGACCGGCGACAUGAGUACUACGAGACGGCCCAGACUCCUACGGUAGGCAGCGGGGGGGAGUAUUACACAGUGGGCGCGAGCCUGAUACGGCGGCGCCGCGUUCGGAAUGACGGCCUUCGAGUUAUAAACCGCUUUGGCCUGAGACGAAGCGUGAGUGACGGUAAUGGAUAAAGAAGCACCGGCUAACUACGUG